rnacentral:rRNA from 1 species
UACGAAGGGGGCUAGCGUUGCUCGGAAUCACUGGGCGUAAAGCGCACGUAGGCGGCUUUCUAAGUCAGGGGUGAAAUCCUGGAGCUCAACUCCAGAACUGCCUUUGACACUGGGGAGCUCGAGUCCGGAAGAGGUGAGUGGAACUCCGAGUGUAGAGGUGAAAUUCGUAGAUAUUCGGAAGAAACACCAGUGGCGAAGGCGGCUCACUGGACUGGUAUUGACGCUGAUGUGCGAAAGCGUGGGGAGCAA